GCCAAUAACCAAAACACCCAGAAUGCGUCCGAUCUCAUCAGAUCUUGGAAACUAAGCAGAGCUGAGCCUGGAUAGUGCUUGGAUGAGUGAUCACCAUGCACGCCAGGUGUUAUAGGCG
rnacentral:rRNA from 1 species